ACUCUCAUUAGUUUAAUGGUAAAACCGGAUAUUCCUAAUAUCUAUUUUAAAGUUCAAGUCUUUAAUGAGAGUA
rnacentral:tRNA from 1 species